GCAAGCAAACCGCCGCACUCCCGAGGAGAGAUACGUGCGUCUCCGAAAGGAAAGCGCUCCAUCGAGGCGGGUUAUCCCGAGCCGGCCUCGGGAACCGUUCCUGUAACCCGGCCCUCAGGGCUUUGAAUCCCUGCGCUCCCCGUGGCCUCAUAACGCUUCCCACCCAGAGCCCGGGUGGGCUCAUAACGCUCGCCACCCGGAGCUGCUGGCCGCAAUGGGAACAAGCAGCUGGGCUUCACGGCUCUGCAUGCUUCCUGGGAGGAUAUAUUGCUCCCAACUUGCCGUAGCGAUCAUGCUGCGCUCCUGGGUUAGGAUGUACAGUUAUGAGUCCCUGUGCUGUUUUACUCUUGGAAUUCAUUUCCUUAUUUAAUGUGCACGGUGGUGAAAGUCCCUUUUUCCCCUUCUUUCCGUGAACCUGGGUGCUGUUCCUGCUCCUGAUCUCUUGCAUGUUGGUGCUGUCCCGCCUGUUGUUUGGUGAUCAUCUCUGGUGCCGUUCCCGGGUGCUGCUCGUGGCCUCGUGCAUCUCCAGUAGCGUGCGGAGCUGCCCAUGUCCAUGGAGAUCCCUGCAAGGCGGGGAAAAGGGUGUUUGCAAGAGAGAAACACCUUUUGAAGUGGGUUUGGAUUGAGGGAGAGCCGGGGAAGGCUGUAGUGCCAGGGCUUGUUCUCCAGAAACCCCAAAGGUUGUCACUUGCUUCUGUUUUGGAUCCGCUGGUGCCAAGGAUUUGCUUCCCGCUGCUCCUUGGGAAUGGCGCCGCUGUUUCUUGUGGCUGAAAGCCUGUUGCGGAAUGAGCAGCAGAUGUCGGACACCUGGGAUGCAUCGGAUACACGACCCGCUUCGGAACACAAGCCCAUUCUUGUCCUUUGGCAAGAGCAGUAACCAAAAAAAGUCGUCUUGCUGUUAAAUGACCUCACCUCCGCGUUGAGACGUUUCUACAGCAGCUACAAAGGCAGGGGGUGAAAUGUAGUAAUGCUAGAAGGAGUGCAAGGCAGACCUGCUCUGCAUCAAAGCAGAAAUGAAGAGAAAGAGGCUUAAUUAAUGUUGAGUUUCUUGGGUACACCCACCAGGAAAUCCAAAAURGACUCUGAAACUCUACCUUUAAUUUGCUCCACUGUGACUGAAACAACGAUGUGACCCYGAGGCCCCAUCCUGCUACUCGCAGCUAAUGUGCAGGACUCCCUCCUGGCAUUCCUACCGCCAGCCGGAGCGCCAGCAAAGCCCAGGUUCUCUGCCCCUGUAUCAAAAGCCCCAAAGCU